rnacentral:ncRNA from 2 species
CCAAAACACUAGGGGUGUCCACAAAUGGGCUGAGAUAUGGCAACGCCAUGAUCCCUUAGAACCUGUCAAGUUCAGACUUGCGGAGGGAACGUGUCGUGGCACCCAA